UUUUUAUGAGAGUUUGAUCCUGGCUCAGGACGAACGCUGGCGGCGUGCCUAAUACAUGCAAGUCGAACGCUUUUUCUUUCACCGGAGC
rnacentral:rRNA from 1 species